rnacentral:rRNA from 1 species
CGACCGGCGCACGGGUGAGUAACACGUAUGAAACCUGCCCGUAGCAGGGGGAUAAGCGGAAGAAAUUCCGUCUAAUACCGCGUAACAACCCGAGGAGGCAUCUCCUCGGGUUUAAAGGAAGCGAUUCCGGCUACGGAUGGUCAUGCGUCGCAUUAGCUAGUUGGCGGGGUAACGGCCCACCAAGGCGACGAUGCGUAGGGGUUCUGAGAGGAAGGUCCCCCACACUGGUACUGAGACACGGACCAGACUCCUACGGAAGGCAGCAG